AGAACGAACGCUGGCGGCAGGCUUAACACAUGCAAGUCGAACGGGCACUUCGGUGUCAGUGGCAGACGGGUGAGUAACACGUGGGAACGUACCCUUUGGUCUGGAAUAACGCAGGGAAACUUGCGCUAAUACCGGAUACGCCCUUUGGGGAAAGGUUUACUGCCGAAGGAUCGGCCCGCGUCCGAUUAGCUAGUUGGUGUUGGUAAUGGCUCACCAAGGCGACGAUCGGUAGCUGGUCUGAGAGGAUGGCCAGCCACAUUGGGACUGAGACACGGCCCAAACUCCUACGGGAGGCAGCAGUGGGGAAUAUUGGACAAUGGGCGCAAGCCUGAUCCAGCCAUGCCGCGUGAGUGAUGACGGCCUUAGGGUUGUAAAGCUCUUUCGCACGCGACGAUAAUGACGGUAGCGUGAGAAGGAAGCCCGGCUAACUUCGUGCCAGCAGCCGC
rnacentral:rRNA from 1 species